rnacentral:sRNA from 1 species
UCGAACGGGGAUUUAGGAGCUAUGUCCUAAUGGCUAACCGGCGAAUAAGUCAUAAGCAACCUAGCUUCCAAAUGGGGACAAGGGCACAAAACUACUGCUAAUACCCAAUGUCAUGCUCCGGGUGCAUACGUGGGGUAAUAAAGGUGGACUCGUAGUAUGCUACUACUCUAACAUGGGUCUACGGCUGAUUAUCUAAUAAGCUGGGUAAAAGCCCACCUACGCAACUAUGAGAAGAUCGUCUGACAGGAUGAAAGGAUAAACUGGGACUGAGACACUGACAAAACUCCUACAGGAGGCAGCAAUGGG